CAGAGACAGGCAGGAUUUCAAAGUGGCACAGGAGACGUUUGGGAGUUUUGCAUAUGCACCAGCAAGGCUCUUGGAUCAAGCCCUACAGCAGAAAGCAAGCAGUAUGUGGUGCCGUGGAAGCAAGAUGCUAAGAAAAUACACCUGCGAACAGUGAUGUAUCAAUGGCUGGAGCGAGACAGGAGAGGAGGAACAGGAGGAGGAGAGUGAGAGAAACUGAUUGCCAACCUUAGUCCAGUGAAAACUUUGCUCCGAUAAUAUUUCCUUGGCCUGACCAAUCCAGAUCAACAAUCCUCUUCUUUGGUGAUUGAAUAAGGGAAGAAGCUCUGCUGGGUGACCUUGAACACAUCACUUCACUUCCUUGAGCUUCAAUAUACCUGCCAUCAAAUGGGAACAAUCAUGUUUACCUCCCUGAAUAGUCAAGAGGAUUAAAUUAAAUAGUGAGGAAAUGUUUGUGCAUUCCAAAUCACCGGCUGAUACAAACACUCAAAGACAAGGGAGAAGGAAACAUAAACAAGGAAACAGAAACAUCCUGUCAACCUGCCCAAAGUGUGCUAAUUACAUUUAAGUCAGCACUGGGUACCAGAUAUAUAUUGGGCUCAUAUUCAUUCCU
rnacentral:lncRNA from 1 species